GAUGAACGCUGGCGGCGUGCCUAAUACAUGCAAGUCGAGCGAAUGGAUUAAGAGCUUGCUCUUAUGAAGUUAGCGGCGGACGGGUGAGUAACACGUGGGUAACCUGCCCAUAAGACUGGGAUAACUCCGGGAAACCGGGGCUAAUACCGGAUAACAUUUUGAAACGCAUGGUUCGAAAUUUAAAGGCGGCUGCGGCUGUCACUUAUGGAUGGACUCGUGUCGCAUUAGCUAAUUGGUGAGGUAACGGCUCACCAAGGCAACGAUGCGUAGCCGACCUGAGAGGGUGAUCGGCCACACUGGGACUGAGACACGGCCCAGACUCCUACGGGAGGCAGCAGUAGGGAAUCUUCCGCAAUGGACGAAAGUCUGACGGAGCAACGCCGCGUGAGUGAUGAAGGCUUUCGGGUCGUAAAACUCUGCUGUUAGGGAAGAACAAGUGCUAGUUGAAUAAGCUGGCACCUUGACGGUACCUAACCAGAAAGCCACGGCUAACUACGUGCCAGCAGCCGCAGUAA
rnacentral:rRNA from 1 species